UGUGCAUCCUACUGUCACUUUUACUUUGUGCUAGUCAUCUAAUAACCAUUUUCUCUAAAUUGCUAAGAGGUCAUAAACACUUAUUUAAGUCACAUUCUUAUCAGUAAGAUAAUGAUUGAGCUUUGAUGAGUGUUUAUAAUGUCAGAGAUAAGGA